GGAGUUAGCCGAGGCUUAUUCGUCAGGUACCGUCAGAUCUUCUUCCCUGACAAAAGAGGUUUACAACCCAAAAGCCCUCCUCCCUCACGCGGUCUUGCUCCGUCAGGCUUUCGCCCAUUGCGGAAAAUUCCCC
rnacentral:rRNA from 1 species